GUAUGUGGUAGCAGAGCGUAACUUCGUGACAGACGAGCGUCCUCUGCUCGCUUUCCAUAAAGGUGACAUCAUCAGGCUGCAAGUCACGGAAGGACUGGAAAAGGGAUACAGCUACGGCUCUGUUGUGAGGAAGAAGGUGAUGUUUCUGGAGGAGAUGAAGAGAGACACGCCAGACUUUGGUUGGAAGUUUGGAGGGGUGUUUGGUCGUGCAGGGGCGUUCCCGACAGAUUGUGUCCGUCCCGUCGCCGCCCCAGACUUCCUGUCCAUCCCGGUUGACCGCAGGGCGGAGCUUAAAGGAGGAGCAGGGCGGGUUGCCGUGACAUCAGCUAUGGCUGUGGCCGUGGCGUCCA